GGGGGACCUUCGGGCCUCUUGCCAUCGGAUGUGCCCAGAUGGGAUUAGCUAGUAGGUGGGGUAACGGCUCACCAAGGCGACGAUCCCUAGCUGGUCUGAGAGGAUGACCAGCCACACUGGAACUGAGACACGGUCCAGACUCCUACGGGAGGCAGCAGUGGGGAAUAUUGCACAAUGGGCGCAAGCCUGAUGCAGCCAUGCCGCGUGUAUGAAGAAGGCCUUCGGGUUGUAAAGUACUUUCAGCGGGGAGGAAGGGAGUAAAGUUAAUACCUUUGCUCAUUGACGUUACCCGCAGAAGAAGCUCCGGCUAACUUAUUGGCAGCAGC
rnacentral:rRNA from 1 species